rnacentral:rRNA from 1 species
UGGGGAAUUUUGCACAAUGGGGGAAACCCUGAUGCAGCGACGCCGCGUGAUUUAGAAGGCCUUCGGGUUGUAAAAAUCUUUUCUAUGGGAAGAAAAUGACAGUACCAUAGGAAUAAGGACCGGCUAAUUACGUGCCAGCAGCCGCGGUAAUACGUAAGGUCCGAGCGUUGUCCGGAAUCAUUGGGCGUAAAGGGUACGUAGGCGGGUAAGCAAGUUAGAAGUGAAAUCCUAUAGCUCAACUAUAGUAAGCUUUUAAAACUGCUCAUCUUGAGGUAUGGAAGGGAAAGUGGAAUUCCUAGUGUAGCGGUGAAAUGUGCAGAUAUUAGGAGGAAUACCGGUGGCGAAGGCGACUUUCUGGCCAUAACCUGACGCUGAGGUACGAAAGCGUGGGUAGCAAACAGG